GAAUUGACCAAGUGGUUAAGGCGAUGAACUGCUAAUCCAUAGGGCUCUGCCUGAGUGGGUUCGAAUCCCAUCCUCAUAGACU